rnacentral:rRNA from 1 species
UACGGAGGGUGCAAGCGUUAUCCGGAUUCACUGGGUUUAAAGGGUGCGUAGGUGGGUCUGUAAGUCUGUGGUGAAAUCUCUGAGCUUAACUCGGAAACUGCCAUGGAUACUAUAGAUCUUGAAUACCGUGGAGGAUAGCGGAAUAUGUCAUGUAGCGGUGAAAUGCUUAGAUAUGACAUAGAACACCAAUUGCGAAGGCAGCUGUCUACCCGAAUAUUGACACUGAGGCACGAAAGCGUGGGGAGCAAACAGG